rnacentral:rRNA from 1 species
AAUCAACGCUGGCGGCGUGCCUAACACAUGCAAGUCGAACGCGAAAGUCCCGCAAGGGAUGAGUAGAGUGGCAAACGGGUGAGUAACACGUGGGUGACCUGCCUUAGAGUGGGGGAUAACGUCCCGAAAGGGACGCUAAUACCGCAUAACAUCCUGCCUUUGAAGAGGUGGAGAUCAAAGCUGGGGACCGCAAGGCCUAGCGCUCAAAGAGGGGCCCGCGCCUGAUUAGCUAGUUGGUGAGGUAACGGCUCACCAAGGCUACGAUCAGUAUCCGGCCUGAGAGGGCGGACGGACACACUGGGACUGAGACACGGCCCAGACUCCUACGGGAGGCAGCAGUGGGGAAUUGUUCGCAAUGGGCGCAAGCCUGACGACGCAACGCCGCGUGGAGGAUGAAGACC